ensembl:snRNA U6 U6 spliceosomal RNA
GUGCUUGCUUUGGCAGUACCUAUACUAAAAUUGGAACAACACAGAGAAGAUUAGCAUGGCCCUUGUGCAAGGAUGACACGCAAAUUUGUGAAGCAUUUCAUAUUUAA